CCACUGAACACAGACUCUGAACCCUUUCUCCUCCAGUGGUCUAGUUUAGUUUUCUCCACUGAACACAGACUCUGAACCCUUUCUCAUCAUGGUGCUUUGGUUUAUUCCCAGAAAUGUGUGAUCACUGUUGUUAGAACUUUGAAGUGUUUGAAACGUAUUUGCUGACUCUGCAGGCUCUCUUCUGAUUGGUCCUUUAAAAACUCAUUAAAGUGUGCUGGAUGGAGGAGAAGCAUUUUUCUCUGCUUCCACUGAGAGGGAGUGGUGCACCGCUCACAACAACAAACGCUGUCCUUUAAUUCACAUGCACGCGUGUGUGCACGUUACAUGACAGCGUGCACAAAUGCGCACGCGCCUCCCGCCUCCUCCUCCUUCUGUAUUUCCGUAGUCCUGCAGAGUUUGGCGCGUGCAGAGCAGAAGGAGUUUACCCACAGAGGAGAGAGGAGCGCGCGCUGAUCACAGAGAACUCAAACAGGUAAACAGGUGGGCUCGUGCCAAACGCCUCUACACCUGGACUCCAGCUCUCCUGGGAUUUGGGCUCCUCUUUUAGGUCCUCAUGAUGAUGAGCCGCCCCGCUCUCUAACAGAGGGAGAUGAUGAUGAUGAAGAUGAUGAUGAAGGUUCUCAGUCUCUGACCAGAACCGGUCUAAGAUGCCACCGGGCCCCGGAGCUCGGCACGCGGCUUGGAUCGUGAAAAACCCGGGAUAACUAAACACAGACAAACACACGCAGGAAGCCAGCACUGAACCCGAACCGGGUCGAGCUGAUCCGGGACAGAGAGCGGAGCGCCAGGGAGCAGAGAGAGGACAGUUUUAUUUCUGAAAUCAUCCUAACUCUCCUCCUUCAGGUUGGCAGGAUGCAGCUCCCGACCCUCCCCGUCCUGUCUGCACUCCUGGUGCUGCUGUUGGCGGCAGGUCGCUGCACGGCGGCGGCGGCCCUGCUCAGGGGGAACGGACGCACCAUGAUGGACAUGGUCGGCCGGUACCCGAGGACGAGGCCGGUGGCGGGAUUCUCUGGACACGGAGUUAAAACAGGAGAGAGAGAGAGCAGGUCACACAGCAGAGCAGACGGUCACCACAGAGAUCCUCAACACAAGGACAACUUCAUCACACACCUGACAGGUCCUCUUUACAUCAACCCAAAGUGCAGAAAACAUUUCCACAGACUGUACUACAACACCAGAGACUGCACAGUACCUACCUAUUAUAAAAGAUGUGCUCGUCUGCUGACUCGGUUGGCCAACAGCCCUCGCUGCUCGGAGAGAUAAACACUCUGCAGCCUCUGAUGACACAACAGAAGAAGAAGAAGAAGAAGUCCUCCAGCCAAUAGAAAGUCCUCUGAUUCUGUACCAGACUUCUGGAGCUGCUCAGCGUUACAUCACACUCUGCACAUGCUCAGUCAGUCAUUCACUGAAGUUAAACAUUUUGAAGCUCAGAUUUGGGAAUUCAUCAUCUUUGAGCUUCUGCUGAAGUUUUGUCAGAAAUGUCCAACGCAAACUCUGUUAGCUUUAAGCUAACUCCACGUCUCGGACACGGAUCAGGACUCUAGACAAAUCCUCAUCCUGAUGUAGUUAGUUCAGUAUCUUACGGCGUGUUCUCAUUAACAAGGUCCUCAGACUGAGACCUGGUCCUGAUCCUAGCUAACAGGUCAUCAGACUGAGACCUGGUCCUGAUCCUAGCUAACAGGUCCUCAGACCUGGACCUGGUACUGAUCCUAGCUAACAGGUCUUCAGACUGAGACCUGGUACUGAUCCUAGCUAACAGGUCCUCAGACUGAGACCUGGUUCUGGUCCUAGCUAACAGGUUUCAGACUGGAAGUAGGAGGACGGUUGAUGGAGGACGGAGAUUAAGUAUUCUGGUGGUCUUGUUUUGAAGCAGCUGAUCCUUCUGGACUCAUCUCAGCUGUUUCUCUGUAUCGGACUCUACUCUCAAAAAUCAUCUUCAGUUUGUGGUGACUGGACAGAAGAUGGAUUUCUAUCUUUUUUAGGCUUCUUUGGUUUCUGAAGGAUCUGGAGACUCAGCAGAAAGUCUCCUGGAGGACCGGACAUGUUUAUCUGUUCUGGGGUUACUUUGGACCGCUGAACGGCUCCACAUGUUCCUGUCGGACAUAUCUGCUGAUUGGACAACGGCUGAAGAUCGGGAUUUAUUCUCCUGAGAUGCUAAAUGUGUUUAAUCGUACAUAAUGCUUCAUAAUCAUAUAACAUAUUUAUAAUGUUCAAGUUGAAGCCUCGUGUGCAAUAUGUACAUACUGAGAGGAAUAAAGACUCAUGUUUCAUAUGUUUUAAACUCAAGUUUAGAGUCUUUAUGUUGCUGUCUCUCCAGUUAGACUUUCUAUCAUACUGCUAAAAUAUAAACAGGGAAGUCUUCUGUUCUUUUUGUUCUAUAUUGGUUCUUUAUGGAAUGACGAGCUAGCACACACUUCAUGUCACCUCUUUGUUCCUGUAAGUCGGUUAAACCUGUCUCUUAUUAAUGUCCAGCAAGGGGCGACUCCACAGGUUACUAAACCAAGCAUCUGUCUUUAGGUCUAAGGAAGUGACCAUAUUUGGACAAGUGGGAGGAGCUGGACAGGAGCUAGGGAAACUCCUUCCACUUUUCCAAAUAUGGUCACUCCUUCUGAAAGGUAGUGAAAGAGGGGGCGGGACUACCUAUGAUUGACUACUAAAGCAAUCAGUCAAGCAGGCGUAGAAAUGCUAAUGACAAGGAGGAGAUAAGAGAAUCCUAGUUUUUAAGCUCGUUUUAUCAGCGACGGCUGCAGUGUGCGCGACCAUGUUCCGUCACAUACGUCCUGCACGUUUAACCAGCAAACAGACAGAAAUAUGAACUUUUAUUCUUUUUCUGUGUGCAUGUAAAACUCCUCUUUUGUUAUCAUGAUUCCUGUCAAACUUUUUUUUCCCGUCCCGUCUCAACAAUCCCGUGACAAGUAGUAAAAUACCUUGCCGUCUCGGAGGAAUCCCUACGAGGAUCGCGUGACCUGCGGGACUCCCUCUACCGGGAAGCGUCACUAACCGGAUGCUGUGUACUUCUGCAACUCACAAACAUGGCAGCGAACACAACACAACCAACCGUCAACAACACGAGCGUCUUUAAAGACAAACCACAAUCAGUUUGUGAUCAGUUUCUGUGAGAUCCGUGGUCGCCUGGUCGACCUCAAUCGUCUCGUGUGUGACAUGAUUCUUUCAAACGUGAAAAGAUGUUGAAGCCCCGCUUGAAUUCACCGUAAACCUGCAGAGAGUUAGUGAAGUAGGAGCCUGCUGCUGGUGAACACGUUGGCUUUACAAGUGUUUGAAGUCAAGUUUCCAUUUGAUUUAGUUUGGUAACGAUUAGAGAAGAUAAGAGUGACGUGAUUCUUUCUGUGAGACGCAGUAAUUAUAGUCUCUGCAUCAUUACAGAGAGUCCUUUAACCGGAUAAUGAUCCGUCUGUCUGUCUGUCUGCAUUCAGCUCAACGUGCCUCACAUAUCGCUUACAGCCGUUUGAUAGUAAUUAGGUAAACUGUCAAAGGUGUGUGUGUUAACAGACAAGCCGAAGUCUGUGCCAGAACUGCUGCAGAUCUGGUCUGACUGGCAAACACACACACACACACCUGUACCUUUAACUGUCCCCAUACGGGGUCGCAUGGAAUUCAAACGGGGUUCUCUGAAAUGUCUAAUUAUUGAUCAACAAAACAUAUAUCAUAGCGUUCUUCCUGAAUGUAGCUACAAGACGUUAUCCAGUUUAGCUACAUGCUAAAAGCUAACAGCCGUGCAGAAUCACCACAGACGAAGCCUGAGUGUCAUCCCCCGUCUGUUCCUGCAGGGGGCGCUGGAGUCCCAUCGAUGGCAGUCUCCAUGCUGGAAAUGCUGUCUCAGUCUAACUUUCAGUCAACCUAACGACAGGCUGAGAGCUGGAGCUGAGGCGGGUUUUAAACCUCCUGACAAACCGUUACACCGCGCCCACCUGUCAAUCAGGUCAGCUACACGCCUUAUUGUGAAUAACUCUUAUCCUUCAUCAAAUCAAAACUGAUGAGUCAUCAAAACAUUCACCCCCCGUACAGUGUGUGUCCAUCGAGACAUGAGCUAAUCACACCUAUUUGGUUUUUUGAACCAGGCUGUAAACAUGUUAAUCUCUGCUGUAAAAACAGGCUUUUUAGAAUGGGUGUGUAUGUGACUUCCUGUGCUUCUGCAGCCAGCCUCUAGUGGACACUCCAGGAACUGCAGGAUGUUACACUUCAGCAUUGUCUUCUUUUUUCAACAUAGGCGGUUGCUGCUUGCUCAUCGAGCGUCCAGCAUUCACUUCCAGCCUCGUUAAUGCACCUCACACGCUCACCUGUCACAUGAUUGAAAUAAUAAUAAUUUGAGCAAUAAGCUGUUUGUUUGUGUGUUUUGGAUGUCGCGGGUCCUCAGAGUGUCACGAGCCAAUAAAGGUGGAGAACCUCUGAUUUAACGAGUUAACGUCUGUCAUGUAAUCAGUUGGAUAUUGAAUCUUUGUCAUGACUGUAUGAAUCCUGCAUGCUGUAAAUACUGUUUAAACAUAUCGACACUGAACAUUCUAAGUCAUUUACUACAUUAAAUAUUUAUCUCUUUGCACUAUUGUUUACAUCUGUAUAUAAACAUUGUCUGGUUUCAUUUGAAUGCAUAUAAUUCUAUAUUUUUCUUAUUUGUACAUUCUGAUCCUAACAGUCUGUUUCUAUAUUUAUACUCAAACUGUAAAACACAGAGACAUUAAAACUGUUGUCGUA